rnacentral:rRNA from 1 species
UACGUAGGGUGCAAGCGUUAAUCGGAAUUACUGGGCGUAAAGCGUGCGCAGGCGGUUUUGUAAGUCAGAUGUGAAAUCCCCGGGCUUAACCUGGGAACUGCGUUUGAAACUACAAGGCUAGAGUGUGGCAGAGGGGGGUGGAAUUCCACGUGUAGCAGUGAAAUGCGUAGAGAUGUGGAGGAACACCGAUGGCGAAGGCAGCCCCCUGGGUUAACACUGACGCUCAGGCACGAAAGUGUGGGGAGCAAACAGG